rnacentral:rRNA from 1 species
UACGUAGGCGGCAAGCGUUGUCCGGAAUUAUUGGGCGUAAAGCGCGCGCAGGCGGUUCCUUAAGUCUGAUGUGAAAGCCCACGGCUCAACCGUGGAGGGUCAUUGGAAACUGGGGAACUUGAGUGCAGGAGAGAAGAGUGGAAUUCCACGUGUAGCGGUGAAAUGCGUAGAAAUGUGGAGGAACACCAGUGGCGAAGGCGACUCUUUGGCCUGUAACUGACGCUGAGGCGCGAAAGCGUGGGGAGCAAACAGG